UGCAUGGAUAACCUACCUUCGAGACGGGGAUAACUUCUCGAAAGGGGAGCUAAUACCCCAUGACGUGACCGCUUGUAGGAGUGGUCACCAAAGAUAGCCUCUGAUACAAGCUUUCGCUCGGAGAGGGGUUCAUGUCCUAUUAGUUAGUUGGUGAGGUAACGGCUCACCAAGGCGACGAUGGGUAGCCGACCUGAGAGGGUGACCGGCCACACUGGGACUGAGACACUGCCCAG
rnacentral:rRNA from 1 species